GACGAACGCUGGCGGCGUGCUUAACACAUGCAAGUCGAACGGUGAAGCGCCUUCCUUUUUGGUGGGUGUGGAUGAGUGGCGAACGGGUGAGUAACACGUGAGUAACCUGCCCCCUUCUUCUGGAUAACCGCAUGAAAGAGUGGCUAAUACGGGAUAUUCUGGGUCUGUCGCAUGAUGGGUCUGGGAAAGAUAUUGUUUCGGUGGGGGAUGGGCUCGCGGCCUAUCAGCUUGUUGGUGGGGUGAUGGCCUACCAAGGCGGUGACGGGUAGCCGGCCUGAGAGGGUGGACGGUCACACAGGGGGUGAAACACGGCGCAGACUCCUACAGGAGGCAGCAGUGAGGAAUAUUGCACGAUGGGCGCAAGCCUGAAGCAGCGACGCCGCGUGAGGGAUGGAAGCCUUCGGGUUGUAAACCUCUUUCGCCAGUGAAGCAGGCCUGCCUCGUUUGUGAGUGGGUUGACGGUAGCUGGAUAAGAAGCGCCGGCUAACUACGUG
rnacentral:rRNA from 1 species